rnacentral:rRNA from 1 species
UACAGAGGGUGCGAGCGUUAUUCGGAAUUACUGGGCGUAAAGGGCGUGUAGGUGGCUUGAUAAGUCAGAUGUGAAAUCCCUGGGCUUAACCUAGGAAUUGCGUUUGAGACUGUUAGUCUAGAGUUUGGUAGAGGGAAGUGGAAUUUCCGGUGUAGCGGUGAAAUGCGUAGAUAUCGGAAGGAACACCAGUGGCGAAGGCGACUUCCUGGCCCAAUACUGACACUGAGGCGCGAAAGCGUGGGUAGCGAACAGG